UACGGAGGGAGCUAGCGUUGUCCGGAAUUACUGGGCGUAAAGAGCUCGUAGGUGGUUUGUCGCGUUGUUCGUGAAAACUCACAGCUCAACUGUGGGCGUGCGGGCGAUACGGGCAGACUAGAGUACUGCAGGGGAGACUGGAAUUCCUGGUGUAGCGGUGGAAUGCGCAGAUAUCAGGAGGAACACCGGUGGCGAAGGCGGGUCUCUGGGCAGUAACUGACGCUGAGGAGCGAAAGCGUGGGGAGCGAACAGG
rnacentral:rRNA from 1 species